CUCUCAGGGUUGUCUAUGAGGGACUCGUUGAGCCUCCAUUGCCCCCGUCCUCGGACUGGGUGUAGUGUGGUAAAUGAUGAUGUGAGGGGGGCAUGGUCUGACCAGGUUAUCGGGGCAAUAGCGACCUCCGCUAGGGUAUCCAGGGUUUUAGUGUCGACCCAACACAUGUCGAUGCGCGAAUAUUGGUCAUGGACCUUGGAGUAAAAGGUGUAGUCCCUAGAGGCUGGGUAGAGUGCCCGCCAGGUGUCAUGCAGGUUAUGGAGAUGGAGGAGCGUCGUCAGUUUGUCCCCUAGGAGCUUGUCUCUUGGGUGGGAGCCCGGUGUCCCUGAUCUGUCUAGGUCAGGGUCUAACACACAGUUAAAGUCCCCGCAUAUCAUCGUCUGUCCCUUCUUUAGUUUGUCAACCUUUCUCAGUGCCUUUCGUAGGAAGUCGUACUGGUUGACGUUGGGGGCGUAAAGGUUUGCUAUAGUCACCUGUGCGUCAUUGAGGAGGCCCACCAGGAUCAGGAGCCUACCGUCAGGGCUCUUGUAUUCCCUUUCACAUUGGAAGCUCCAAUCUGAGUGGAAUAGUGUGCUGAC